GAUGAACGCUAGCUACAGGCUUAACACAUGCAAGUCGAGGGACCGGCGCACGGGUGCGUAACACGUAUCCAACCUGCCCUUUACUCGGGGAUAGCCUUUCGACAGAAAGAUUAAUACCCGAUAUAAAGGAUGGGGAUGCGUUCCAUUAGGUUGUUGGUGAGGUAACGGCUCACCAAGCCUUCGUUGGAUAGGGGUUCUGAGAGGAAGGUCCCCCACAUCUGAACUGCGACACAGUCCAAACUCCGACGGGACGCAGCAGUGAGGAAUAUGAGGCAAUGGGCGCUAGCCGGAACCAGCCAAGUAGCGGGAAGGAUGAAGGCUUAUGGGUCGUAAACUUCUUUUAUAUAAGAAGAUGUAUUAUAUGAAUAAGGAUCGGCUAACUCCGUGCCAGCAGCCGCGGUAAUUC
rnacentral:rRNA from 1 species